rnacentral:rRNA from 1 species
UACGUAGGGUGCAAGCGUUAAUCGGAAUUACUGGGCGUAAAGCGUGCGCAGGCGGCUUUGCAAGACAGAUGUGAAAUCCCCGGGCUAACCUGGGAACUGCAUUUGUGACUGCAUGGCUGGAGUGCGGGCAGAGGGGGAUGGAAUUCCGCGUGUAGCAGUGAAAUGCGUAGAUAUGCGGAGGAACACCGAUGGCGAAGGCAAUCCCCUGGGCCUCACUGACGCUCAUGCACGAAAGCGUGGGGAGCAAACAGG